rnacentral:rRNA from 1 species
AGUGAACGCUGGCGGUAGGCCUAACACAUGCAAGUCGAACGGCAGCACAGUAAGAGCUUGCUCUUACGGGUGGCGAGUGGCGGACGGGUGAGGAAUACAUCGGAAUCUACUUUUUCGUGGGGGAUAACGUAGGGAAACUUACGCUAAUACCGCAUACGACCUACGGGUGAAAGCAGGGGAUCUUCGGACCUUGCGCGAUUGAAUUAGCCGAUGUCGGAUUAGCUAGUUGGCGGGGUAAAGGCCCACCAAGGCGACGAUCCGUAGCUGGUCUGAGAGGAUGAUCAGCCACACUGGAACUGAGACACGGUCCAGACUCCUACGGGAGGCAGCAGUGGGGAAUAUUGGACAAUGGGCGAAAGCCUGAUCCAGCAAUACCGCGUGGGUGAAGAAGGCCUUCGGGUUGUAAAGCCCUUUUGUUGGGAAAGAAAAGCAGCAGGUUAAUACCCCGCUGUUCUGACGGUACCCAAAGAAUAAGCACCGGCUAACUUCGUG